rnacentral:rRNA from 1 species
CAAUAAGCGGAGGAAAAGAAACUAACAAGGAUUCCCCUAGUAACUGCGAGUGAAGCGGGAAAAGCUCAAAUUUAAAAUCUGGCAGCCUCUGGUUGUCCGAGUUGUAACCUAGAGAAGUGUUAUCCGUGUUGGACCGUGUUUAAGUCUCCUGGAAUGGAGCGUCAUAGAGGGUGAGAAUCCCGUCUUUGACACGGACUGCCAAUGCAUUGUGAUGCGCUCUCAAAGAGUCGAGUUGUUUGGGAAUGCAGCUCAAAAUGGGUGGUAAAUUCCAUCUAAAGCUAAAUAUUGGCGAGAGACCGAUAGCGAACAAGUACCGUGAGGGAAAGAUGAAAAGAACUUUGGAAAGAGAGUUAAACAGUACGUGAAAUUGCUGAAAGGGAAACGCUUGAAGUCAGUCGCGUUGGCCAGGAAUCAACCUUGCUUCUGCUGGGUGUACUUUCUGGUCGACGGGUCAGCAUCAAUUUUGACCGUCGGAAAAAGUUCAGGGGAAUGUGGCAUCCUCGGAUGUGUUAUAGCCUCUGUUCGCAUACGACGGUUGGGAUUGAGGAGCUCAGCACGCCGCAAGGCCGGGUUUCGACCACGUACGUGCUUAGGAUGCUGGCAUAAUGGCUUUAAUCGACCCGUCUUGAAACACGGACCAAGGAGUCUAACAUGCCUGCGAGUGUUUGGGUGCCAAACCCGAGCGCGUAAUGAAAGUGAAAGUUGAGAUCCCUGUCGCGGGGAGCAUCGACGCCCGGACCAGACCUCUUGUGACGGUUCCGCGGUAGAGCAUGUAUGUUGGGACCCGAAAGAUGGUGAACUAUGCCUGAAUAGGGUGAAGCCAGAGGAAACUCUGGUGGAGGCUCGUAGCGAUUCUGACGUGCAAAUCGAUCGUCAAAUUUGGGUAUAGGGGCGAAAGACUAAUCGAACCAU